UUUAGGCUUGCAGGAUAAGCUAAUGACAGUUCCAUCAGAGGCCUCAAGUGGUGACUCCUCAACAAGUUGGCUUUUUAAAAAUAAAGAACACGGCAAAGCCAGUGCUGCAGCAAGUCUGGGUAUGAUCCUGCAAUGGGAUGUCGAUAAUGGACUUGCACAAA